UACGUAGGGUGCAAGCGUUGUCCGGAAUUAUUGGGCGUAAAGAGCUCGUAGGCGGUUUGUCGCGUCUGCCGUGAAAGUCCGGGGCUCAACUCCGGAUCUGCGGUGGGUACGGGCAGACUAGAGUGAUGUAGGGGAGACUGGAAUUCCUGGUGUAGCGGUGAAAUGCGCAGAUAUCGGGAAGAACACCCGUGGCGAAGGCGGCACUCUGGGACGGUACUGACGCUGAGACGCGAAAGCGUGGGGAGCGAACAGG
rnacentral:rRNA from 1 species